GGAAAGGCAGCUCACUGGUAGAGCAUCUGCUGUGUGUGCAGAAGGUCCCAGGUUCAAUCCCCAGCAUCUUCA